rnacentral:rRNA from 1 species
CCUCGGCCCGAGUUGUAAUUUGCAGAGGAUGCUUCUGGCGCGGUGCCUUCCGAGUUCCCUGGAACGGGACGCCACAGAGGGUGAGAGCCCCGUAUGGUCGGACACCAAGCCUGUGUGAAGCUCCUUCGACGAGUCGAGUAGUUUGGGAAUGCUGCUCUAAAUGGGAGGUAAAUCUCUUCUAAAGCUAAAUACCGGCCAGAGACCGAUAGCGCACAAGUAGAGUGAUCGAAAGAUGAAAAGCACCUUGAAAAGGGGGUUAAAUAGUACGUGAAAUUGUUGAAAGGGAAGCACUUAUGACCAGACUUGGGCCGGGCGGCUCAUCAGGGGUUCUCCCCUGUGCACUCCGCCCGGCACAGGCCAGCAUCGGUUCUCGUGGGGGGAUAAGACCGCCGGGAACGUAGCACCCUCCGGGGUGUGUUAUAGCCCGGCGGACGAUACCCUCGUGGGGACCGAGGUUCGCGCUCCGCAAGGAUGCUGGCGUAAUGGUCAUCAGUGACCCGUCUUGAAACACGGACCAAGGAGUCGUCCAUUAGAGCGAGCGUUUGGGUGUAAAACCCGCACGCGUAAUGAAAGUGAACGCAGGUGAGAGCUUCGGCGCAUCAUCGACCGAUCCUGAUGUUCUCGGAAGGAUUUGAGUAAGAGUUUUAACGGACGGACCCGAAAGACAGUGAACUAUGCUUGUAUAGGGUGAAGCCAGAGGAAACUCUGGUGGAGGCUCGCAGCGGUUCUGACGUGCAAAUCGAUCGUCAAAUAUGAGCAUGGGGGCGAAAGACUAAUCGAACUGUCUAGUAGCUGGUUACCGCCGAAGUUUCCCUCAGGAUAGCAGUGUUGAUCUUCAGUUUUAUGAGGUAAAGCGAAUGAUUAGGGACUCGGGGGCGCUAUAUUGCCUUCAUCCAUUCUCAAACUUUAAAUAUGUAAGAAGCCCUUGUUACUUAGUUGAACGUGGGCAUUCGAAUGUACCAACACUAGUGGGCCAUUUUUGGUAAGCAGAACUGGCGAUGCGGGAUGAACCGAACGCGGGGUUAAGGCGCCAGAGUGUACGCUCAUCAGACACCACAAAAGGCGUUAGUACAUCUUGACAGCAGGACGGUGGCCAUGGAAGUCGGAAUCCGCUAAGGACUGUGUAACAACUCACCUGCCGAAUGUACU